GGCUAGUCCCACCGCAGUGGUGUUUAGAACUAAUUGAUCACAACCAAUUACAGAUUUAAUUGUUCCUUCUCUACUCCCACUGCCUCUCUUGACUAGCCUUUA
ensembl:misc_RNA Y_RNA Y RNA